GGGGAAUAUUGCGCAAUGGGGGAAACCCUGACGCAGCGACGCCGCGUGGGUGAUGAAGGCCUUCGGGUCGUAAAGCCCUGUCGGGAGGGAAGAAACGGUUCGGACCUAAUACGUCCGAGCAUUGACGGUACCUCCUAAGGAAGCACCGGCUAACUCCGUGCCAGCAGCCGCGGUAAUACGGAGGGUGCUAGCGUUGUUCGGAAUUACUGGGCGUAAAGGGCGCGUAGGCGGCCCGCUAAGUCGAACGUGAAAUCCCCAGGCUCAACCUGGGAACUGCGUCCGAUACUGGCAGGCUUGAAUCCGGGAGAGGGAUGUGGAAUUCCAGGUGUAGCGGUGAAAUGCGUAGAUAUCUGGAGGAAUACCGGUGGCGAAGGCGGCAUCCUGGACCGGCAUUGACGCUGAGGAGCGAAAGCUAGGGGAGCAAA
rnacentral:rRNA from 1 species